AAGGCUUCAUUCAUUCUCCUAAUGUUUAUGACAGUCACCCUGCCAAUCUCUACCCCAGUGAUGACCCACAACAAGUAGGCAAAUAGAUGUUUUGUGCCUUUAAGGGAUCAAGCCUCUGUUGCUACUACAAAGGUUGCUGCCAUAGCUAUGUGUUUGGAAUAUUCCUCUUGCUGUUGCUAGGCAGACUGUGCUUCUGUUAAACUGAUCGUUCCUAUACUCUCACUUGAUGAUUCCUAAAGAACCUCCAUCUUCACUUCUGGUCCUUCUUGCCUUACCAGCUCCCAAUUUCCAGUGCUGAGGGACACACCCAGCAGGUGGUAUGCAAGUCCUGCCUUGAAGCAAAGACGCCUCUUAACUCUGAAAACCAGUUUGGCAAGAAUGGAUCUGCUAGCAAGCAGACAGAAAUUUCCAACUGAAGACCUACUUCCCCUAUAAGAAUUCUCAAGGCUCUACUUUUCUCACCACAACAGAAGUCUGCCCUUACCCUGGUAGGAAGCCAAGUAGAGUGCUAUGAGCAGCACCCAGCAUUUCCAGAAGCCCUCCAUGGCCUUGGCGUUAAGGAAUCCUUCAGUGGUGGGAAGGA